CCUACGGGUCGCAGCAGUGGGGAAUAUUGGACAAUGGGCGAAAGCCUGAUCCAGCCAUGCCGCGUGUGUGAAGAAGGCCUUCGGGUUGUAAAGCACUUUCAGUGGGGAAGAAAGCCUUGGGGCUAAUACCCUCGAGGAAGGACAUCACCCACAGAAGAAGCACCGGCUAACUCCGUGCCAGCAGCCGCGGUAAUACGGAGGGUGCGAGCGUUAAUCGGAAUUACUGGGCGUAAAGCGCGCGUAGGCGGUCUGAUAAGCCGGUUGUGAAAGCCCCGGGCUCAACCUGGGAACGGCAUCCGGAACUGUCAGGCUAGAGUGCAGGAGAGGUAGGUAGAAUACCCGGUGUAGCGGUGAAAUGCGUAGAGAUCGGGAGGAAUACCAGUGGCGAAGGCGGCCUUCUGGACUGACACUGACGCUGAGGUGCGAAAGCGUGGGUAGCAAACAGGACUAGAUACCCUAGUAGUC
rnacentral:rRNA from 1 species